AAAUAAAAAUUUUUUAUAGUUGAAAUAAUUUAUUUAAAAUUUAUUUUACAUAUGAAUUUUGGUAUAAUUUAUAUUUUAAAUUAUUUUAAUAAUGAUUUAUUUUUUUUUUGUAGUAAUUAAUAUUAAAAAAUUAGGAAAUUAAGUUUUAGUAAUAUAAUAAUUAAUAACAAAUUUUGUGCCAGCAGUUGCGGUUAUACAAAAGUUAAAUUAAAUUUUAUUAGUGAAUUAAUAAAUAAAAAUAUAAUAUUUUAAUUUAUUGUAUUUAUAUAAUUAAAAUUUUAAAUUAUUAAGUGAAAUUUUAAUUUAAUUAAAUUUAUAUUUAUUAUUUAUGAUUUAAUAAAUUUUAUAAAAAACUAGGAUUAGAUACCCUAUUAUAAAAAUUUAAAUUAAAAUACUAAAAGAGUAAAUAAUUAUUUAUUGAAACUUAAAUAAUUUGGCGGUAUUUUAGUUCAUUUAGAGGAAUCUGUUUAAUAAUUGAUAAUCCACGAAUAAAUUUACUUAAUUUAUAAUUUUAUAUAUCGUUGUUAAAAAAAUAUUUUUUUAUGAAAAUAAUAUUUUAAAAUUUAAAAUUAAAUUUAAAUCAGAUCAAGAUGUAGAUAAUAAUUAAGAAUAUAAUGGAUUACAAUAAAAUAAUUUAAAUGAAUAUUAAUUUGUAAAAAUUAAUUGAAAGUGGAUUUAAAUGUAAUUUUAUUUAAUUAAAUAAAAUGAUUAAAAAUUAAAGUAUGUACAUAUUGCCCGUCACUUUCAUAUAAUAUAUUUAUAUUUAAAUUUAAAUAUAAUAAAAAGUUGAAAUAAGUCGUAACAAAGUAGAGGUACUGGAAAGUGUUUCUAGAAAGAA
rnacentral:ncRNA from 1 species